rnacentral:rRNA from 1 species
AUGUGGAGCGGCACCCGAGCGGUGGAUCGGGAGCAGCGCCAGAGCAGUGGAGCGGCGGAUCUGGAGCAGAGUCUUCGUCCUCACGGUGCACACGUCGUCGUCUUCGUCAGAUGUCCCCACCUCGCUGACGCAUUCGAUCCGCGCAUGCUGUGUUCUCUCGGUAAAGUGAAGUUACAGGAAAAAAGUACUCACCAGUUUCAAGGAGAUGAACUUGUUUGGGAAGUGGAAGCAGAGUUGUCUGAAUUUUCAGUAUGUGAGUUUCAUCAGAUAUUAGAGGCUACAAGUAACUUUUCUGAGGAAAACAAAAUUGGCGAAGGUGGAUUUGGCCCGGUUUAUAAGGAUGAUCGACGGGUGCAUGUCAUAGAGAGAGACCUGACAGAGCCUGAUAGAAUUGUGGGUGAAUUGUUACAACCUGGAGGUUACUUGAAAUUGAUAGAAUUGGGUCUGCAGGGUUUCCCAAUUGCAAAGCUGCUGCCUUGUGACCAUGAGGUCAUGGGUUCAAGUCCUGGAAACAGCCUCUUACAGAAAUGUAGGGAAAGGCUGCGUACUAUAGACCCAAAGUGGUCGGACCCUUCCCUGGACCCUGCGCAAGCGGGAGCUACAUGCACCAGGUUGCCCUUUAUUACAGGUUUCCCAAUUGAUCAUUACACUCCAGUAAUUUCUUCUGAUGCCAAUUGUGAGGACUAUUGUACCUAA